UACGUAGGGUGCGAGCGUUAAUCGGAAUUACUGGGCGUAAAGCGUGCGCAGGCGGUUUUGUAAGUCAGAUGUGAAAGCCCCGGGCUUAACCUGGGAAUGGCAUUUGGGACUGCAAGGCUUGAGUGCGGCAGAGGAGACUGGAAUUCCUGGUGUAGCAGUGAAAUGCGUAGAUAUCAGGAGGAAUACCGAUGGCGAAGGCAAGUCUCUGGGCUGACACUGACGCUCAUGCACGAAAGCGUGGGGAGCAAACAGG
rnacentral:rRNA from 1 species